ensembl:lncRNA
GAAAACUCAGACUUGUCUGACUCUGACCCAGAGAUUGUUAUUAAAAGGCCCUCUGAGUUUGAUCUUGCUGAUACAUUGCCAUGGGAACUUCAACAUGAAAGCAGUCCUUUACAGAAAGCAGCAGAAUAUGAGAAGGGUGCUGGGGAUCUUGUGCUUGCUAAUGAAGUACAACAGAGACACCAAUUUGCAGGCACAUGGAAUUAUUGCAAAUUUGGCACUGGAACUUGACCACAAGAAGGUCAGCAGGUUCAAUAUAUCAAGGUCAGCUGUAUGGGAUGGAGCUGUUAGAGGAUUUCGACGCAGCACAUACUCUGACAACUACGACAUGUUCAUCAAGUUUAAUGAUGAUGCUGGCAGCUUUGAAGAAGGUUUGGAUACAGGUGGCCCGGUGAAUUCCUCACACUUCUUAUGGGCAGUCUGCGAAAUCGCCCCAUCUUUGAUGGACCUCCAGAGAGCCGUUAUCUUGUAUAUAAUUCAAGAGCUGCCAGGCAAGAUGAGUACUUUUUAGCAGGAAAGAUGAUCGCUGUAUCCAUUGUGCAUGGGGGACCAGCACCACAUUUCCUCUCCAAGAACCUGGUCAACCACAUCACAGGGAAUCAGAGUUUCAGCGCCACUGUAGAAGAUGUGCAAGAUGAGGAGAUCACAAAAAUUUUACAUCAGGUCCUGAAAGCUGAAUCAGAGGAGUCUUUGCAUAAUCUUAUUUUGCAAAACAGCACAAUCUUCAAACUGCUGGAUGCCUCAGAAACGUCAAGCCUUUUGAGAAACAAGCAUUUGUGGAG